rnacentral:tRNA from 1 species
GCCGACGUGGCGGAAUGGCAGACGCUGCAGACUUAGGAUCUGCUGCCCUUUUGGGCGUGGAGGUUCAAAUCCUCUCGUCGGCACAA